rnacentral:rRNA from 1 species
CAAUAGCGUAUAUUAAAGUUGUUGCGGUUAAAAAGCUCGUAGUUGGAUUUCUGCUGAGAACGACCGGUCCGCCCUCUGGGUGUGUAUCUGGCUCUUUCUUGGCAUCUUCUUGGUGAACGUUGCUGCACUUGACUGUGUGGAGCGCUACCCAGGACUUUUACUUUGAGGAAAUUAGAGUGUUUCAAGCAGGCAUACGCCUUGAGUACUCCAGCAUGGAAUAAUCGAAUGACAUUCGAAGUUUUUGUUGGUUGACGCGGAGAUGUAUUGAUUGAUAGGAACAGCUGGGGGUAUUCGUAUUCAACAGUCAGAGGUGAAAUUCUUAGAUUUGUUGAAGACGAACUAAUGCGAAAGCAUUUACCAAGAAUGUUUCCAUUAG